rnacentral:rRNA from 1 species
GGGAGCGGCAGACGGGUGAGUAACACGUGGGGAUCUACCCAAUGGUACGGAAUAACCCAGGGAAACUUGGAUUAAUACCGUAUGUGCCCUUCGGGGGAAAGAUUUAUCGCCAUUGGAUGAACCCGCGUCGGAUUAGCUAGUUGGUGAGGUAAAGGCUCACCAAGGCGACGAUCCGUAGCUGGUCUGAGAGGAUGAUCAGCCACACUGGGACUGAGACACGGCCCAGACUCCUACGGGAGGCAGCAGUGGGGAAUAUUGGACAAUGGGCGCAAGCCUGAUCCAGCCAUGCCGCGUGAGUGAUGAAGGCCUUAGGGUUGUAAAGCUCUUUCGCCGGUGAAGAUAAUGACGGUAACCGGAGAAGAAGCCCCGGCUAACUUCGUGCCAGCAGCCGCGGUAAUACGAAGGGGGCUAGCGUUGCUCGGAAUCACUGGGCGUAAAGCGCACGUAGGCGGAUCGUUAAGUCAGGGGUGAAAUCCUGGAGCUCAACUC